rnacentral:misc_RNA from 1 species
UUUACCUAAAACAAAAUAUAUAUACAUAUAUAUAUAUAUACCUCCUCCCUUUCUCCCUCAAAGAAAAAAAAAACAAAAAAAACUUGCUUAAUGGAGUACCUGUUAUGGAACCAAUUUAUAAACAAAAGAUUUCAGUGCUUCUGUAACUGAGAUCGCGAAAGGAAAGAAAAACUAAAUCAGAUUGCUGUUUAAAUGUGUGUCUCUAUGUAUAAUUGAUACAUAUAUAUUAUUAUAUUGCUAGUAGGCCAAAAGAGAUUUUGUUUUUUUACAAGGACGAUACGUGGAAAGGACUACCUAAAAACUACCAGAACGGCUGAUCAACAAUGUCAGGUCGCGGUUCUUGGAACAAACGGUCGACUGUCGGAGUGUUCGACUUCAAUGAGGAUCGCAAAAAGCGUUAUAAACACAAGCGGUCGCAAUUUUACAUGCACAAGACUGCACAUUUCGCCACAACUGGGCCACCAUCGUCGGCGGCCAUGGUUUCAUCCUCAUCGCCCCCAGUUACCUCUCUGACAUCUCCAUCAUCUGCCGGAUCAUUACCAUCGACGAUGUUACCGUCAGCAGUAGCUGACAGAAGUAAUAAUAAUAAUAAUAAUAACAGCAACAACAACAGCAAGAGUAAUAAUAUUAAUAACAGUAAUAGUAACGUAGCUUCUCAUCCCGUGCUCCCCCCGAACUCAUCGCUUUGUGCUACUUCCAUUAUUUCGCCUACUUCCACUACCUCCACUCCUAUUUCUUCUCUUUCCUCGACAUCCCAGCCAUCGAGCAAUUUGCUCUCUCGGCCAUUACUGUCUGCUGUCCAGAAAUCAGCAACAAGCAGUAACAAUGUGAAUAGCGGAUCUAAUCUGCACCACCAUCACCACCACCGCCAGCAACAGCAGCAUCUACAGAUUCACCGCCAGCAACAGCAGCAACAACAGCAGCAGCAUCAUCAGCAUCAUCAACAACAACCACAUCAUCGUCACCUCUCCUCUUCGGUGAACAAUACUGGAUUGCUCGCAGACAACAACAACACUACAAAUAAUAAUAACAACAACAUAAAUAAUUCUACUACUACUACUAUUACCAACAACAACAUCAGCGGCGGCAGCAGCAGUUCUGCAGCUGGCAACCUUAACUGCCGACGAUUACCCACUAACAACAGUAUGAAUGUGACCAGUUCAGCCAGCACUUCGUUGACCACUGGUGUGGCGAACAUGGGCCUCGGCAACAACAGCCCCACAAACAAUAGCAACAGUAGUAUGGCGGGCAACAAAGGUAUGAUGAUGAUGUCCCCUUGCAACAUGGGGACGUCUCCUUCGAGUGUUUCCUUCCACCAUCCGUUAGGUUUGAGGAACGACGUGUUAGCUUCACGCCUGCACAGUCUCUGCUCGAUCAAGUCCUCAAAUUCGCCGGUUCCGUCGUCGACCUCGUCGGUUUCUAUGAUGCCGUUGCCCCCAAACAGCAACCUUCCUUGUCCGAACGUUGCCAACCCACAUGCCAUGACCACAACUACUGCUCUGGCUAACACCACCUCUUCCACCGGUAUCAUCAGCAGUGGUACUGGUAGUAGUAGUGUUAGUAGUAAUAAUAAUAACAACAACAACAGUAAUAACAACAACAAUAAUAAUAAUCACAGCCAUGGCACAGGGAUCUCUUCGUUAAACAACCUGAAAACUUGCCUUCCAGAUGGCAACUCGACCAUCAUGAGCAACAACAGCAAUACAACUACUAAUAGCAGCAACAACAACAGUAAUAUUCAUAGUAAUAAUAGCCAGAUGGGCUUCAGUACAAACGCGGCAGCUAUUGGUAGCAAUACUAGUAACAAUACUAGUAGUAACUUACUGACUGCUACUUCCGGCUCUGGACCUGUUCAAACGAUUGAGUCUGGCAAAACUGCCAAGAACACUCGACGCCAUCACAUGGCUACUGAUCGAAUAUACGAGUUUGAAUCCAGUCCCCCGACGAGCGAUGUUACUGAAACCCCUGCCCAGGCGGCUGUUGUGAUCGAUUCUCAACAAAGAAAGCCUAUCUGGUCACCUGCAAAAACCAAAAGCCAUGAAAGCUCUAAGACCAAAGACAACAUAAGUGAUUCUGACACAACAAACAAAGAACAAACCAUGCAGACACCAGAUUCAGAAUCCCACAUUGAGCUUCGAAGGGGACGUAGUGCACGAUCAGUACAGAAUAACUCUGUUGAUCAAAGGCCUAUUCGCAGAUGUUCGGAAUUCAAUGACACACAGCUGGCCUUUCUAGAGUCACAAUGGCAACUAGGAAUGGUGUCCGUGUCCCGUGACUGUUGGAAGAUGAUUGACGAUACUGCUGAAUGUAUUGGAAUUUCAUCAGCUCGAGUAAAACGGUGGAUCCAAGAAUACAGCAAAGCUCAUGGUUUAGUCAUAGAUGAACCUGUCACUAGAAAACGUAAAUUAUCAGAAUCCAGAAAUACAGAUGAUUUUGGUUCCGAUACUGGAGGUGAAGAAAAUGAAGAACUUGAGAGUGCGGCGAAAAAGAGUAAGAAAAGUCCAUCUAGAAGCAAGACCAAAGAAAACAGAGAGACGACGGACAAAAAAGAGACUAACCGGAACCAGAACAAGCGUGAACAAAUUGUGGGGUUACUGGGGAAACUCAGCCACACUUGUUCAUCAUUGUCAUCUCUUGGUGUUGAAACUGCCUGUCUAGCUGUCAACAAACCAGUUGUUUUCACACUAGGUAGUAAAUAUGGUACAAACUUCCUUAAAAAAGAAAAGCAAUUACAGAACAAAUUUCUUGCCUACUUAGCCAAGGGCAAAGAUCAGCCCAAAAACAAUCGUAAGAAGCUUGCAGAAGAAGUGAAGGCCUUAUUCAAUGAGAAGUUUUCUUUAUGUUGCGGCAGUACUCGGACCAUGCCAUAUGUUAAACUGGAAAAAGAUCCUAUGUUUAUCGACAUUGAAGGCUUCCCGGAUGGCAUUAUCCUAAAAAGACCACAGUCCUAUGGAAUAUCGGAUCUUCGGAAAAUUUUAAAUGCUUCUGAAAAAAUCCAGUUUCACCUAAAGAAUCCACAGCCAAACAAAAAGAAAGUCACUUCUAACCCGACGCCAAAGAAAGAAAAUACGAGUACAGAAUCCACAGAGAACAAUUUACCGCCUCCUACUUUACCUGCUCAGUCCAAUGACACACAACCUAAUAAAGACCUCCGAACAAAAUCAGACAGUUUUGGUAAUAGUGGCAACAAAAGGAAUAAUUCCACUCCUCCUCCACCUCAGCUUGAACCUGAACGUCCACAACUUGAGUUGAACAUGGAUUCAAAGACUAAACCAGAUCAAGUUCCAAAAUUUGGUACAGUUGAGCCUCAGUUCUCAACGUUACCAAAAGCCUUUCAGACUUCAGGGAACACUCCAGGAAGUGAGUCUUUCUUACACAGUUCGUAUAUGACUACAAAUUCAAACACGGGUUCCCAGGCACAAAACCCCAAUAAAUCCUUACAAAUGAGACAAAGUGCUGCGUUUGGCAGCAAGCCCAUUGUCACAAGCCCUGCAUUCUUGCAGCACAGAACUACUUUCGGUUCUGGGAGCAGUCGCCGAAAAGCUCUAGAAUUAGCACGCUCAGAGCAGAAAGCUCUGGAAGAGAAAUCUAAAAAGGCUGUUGAGACACUGAAACCUGUUGAGCAGCCCAAGACUGAUUUUCAGCAGAAUUCGGACAGCAAGUCUGUGGCCAAAUUUGACAUCAGUUCAAGAUCUGUUGAAGCUUCCAAAUUUAAACCAAUUGAUUCAAUGCAAUUCAAACCUAUGGAGAGCCCUAAGUUUAAGGGCAUAGAAAUUGCUAAAUUCAAACCUAUAGAGAGUGCUAAAUUCAAACCAAUGGACAGUAAGUUUAAACCUGUAGAAACGACCAAAUCUGACAAAAAAUCUUCUGACAGUGUUCUUGUUGAAAAGAAAAAACCUGAAACACCAAAAUCUCAAAAGAAAGAAUCAGAAAACACAAAAUCACAGAAGUCUAAAGAUUCUGAUGGCAAAUCAGGAACUGAAAGUUCCUUGAUAUAAUGCACCAAUGUUCUCUAAAUCCUGAAUUUGAGAUGACACCAAGUGCUAGUGCAGUGAGGUUUUUAUUGUAGAGAAAGUCUUAAAGAAACGUGUGCAGAAAGGUCAUCAAGAGGUUUUGGUCAAAUGGAAAGGUUACAGCAAUCGUUACAACUCAUGGGAACCAGUGGACAACAUUUUCACCAUGUAAACCUU